CACUCCUACGGGAGGCAGCAGUGGGGAAUAUUGGACAAUGGGCGCAAGCCUGAUCCAGCCAUGCCGCGUGAGUGAUGAAGGCCCUAGGGUUGUAAAGCUCUUUCACCGGUGAAGAUAAUGACGGUAACCGGAGAAGAAGCCCCGGCUAACUUCGUGCCAGCAGCCGCGGUAAUACGAAGGGGGCUAGCGUUGUUCGGAUUUACUGGGCGUAAAGCGCACGUAGGCGGACUAUUAAGUCAGGGGUGAAAUCCCGGGGCUCAACCCCGGAACUGCCUUUGAUACUGGUAGUCUUGAGUUCGAGAGAGGUGAGUGGAAUUCCGAGUGUAGAGGUGAAAUUCGUAGAUAUUCGGAGGAACACCAGUGGCGAAGGCGGCUCACUGGCUCGAUACUGACGCUGAGGUGCGAAAGCGUGGGGAGCAAACAGGAUUAGAUACCCUUGUAGUCCCAUGA
rnacentral:rRNA from 1 species